GAUGAACGCUGGCGGCGUGCCUAAUACAUGCAAGUCGAGCGAACGGACGAGAAGCUUGCUUCUCUGAUGUUAGCGGCGGACGGGUGAGUAACACGUGGAUAACCUACCUAUAAGACUGGGAUAACUUCGGGAAACCGGAGCUAAUACCGGAUAAUAUUUUGAACCGCAUGGUUCAAAAGUGAAAGACGGUCUUGCUGUCACUUAUAGAUGGAUCCGCGCUGCAUUAGCUAGUUGGUAAGGUAACGGCUUACCAAGGCAACGAUGCAUAGCCGACCUGAGAGGGUGAUCGGCCACACUGGAACUGAGACACGGUCCAGACUCCUACGGGAGGCAGCAGUAGGGAAUCUUCCGCAAUGGGCGAAAGCCUGACGGAGCAACGCCGCGUGAGUGAUGAAGGUCUUCGGAUCGUAAAACUCUGUUAUUAGGGAAGAACAUAUGUGUAAGUAACUGUGCACAUCUUGACGGUACCUAAUCAGAAAGCCACGGCUAACUACGUGCCAGCAGCCGCGGUAAUACGUAGGUGGCAAGCGUUAUCCGGAAUUAUUGGGCGUAAAGCGCGCGUAGGCGGUUUUUUAAGUCUGAUGUGAAAGCCCACGGCUCAACCGUGGAGGGUCAUUGGAAACUGGAAAACUUGAGUGCAGAAGAGGAAAGUGGAAUUCCAUGUGUAGCGGUGAAAUGCGCAGAGAUAUGGAGGAACACCAGCGGCGAAGGCGACUUUCUGGUCUGUAACUGACGCUGAUGUGCGAAAGCGUGGGGAUCAAACAGGAUUAGAUACCCUGGUAGUCCACGCCGUAAACGAUGAGUGCUAAGUGUUAGGGGGUUUCCGCCCCUUAGUGCUGCAGCUAACGCAUUAAGCACUCCGCCUGGGGAGUACGACCGCAAGGUUGAAACUCAAAGGAAUUGACGGGGACCCGCACAAGCGGUGGAGCAUGUGGUUUAAUUCGAAGCAACGCGAAGAACCUUACCAAAUCUUGACAUCCUUUGACAACUCUAGAGAUAGAGCCUUCCCCUUCGGGGGACAAAGUGACAGGUGGUGCAUGGUUGUCGUCAGCUCGUGUCGUGAGAUGUUGGGUUAAGUCCCGCAACGAGCGCAACCCUUAAGCUUAGUUGCCAUCAUUAAGUUGGGCACUCUAAGUUGACUGCCGGUGACAAACCGGAGGAAGGUGGGGAUGACGUCAAAUCAUCAUGCCCCUUAUGAUUUGGGCUACACACGUGCUACAAUGGACAAUACAAAGGGCAGCGAAACCGCGAGGUCAAGCAAAUCCCAUAAAGUUGUUCUCAGUUCGGAUUGUAGUCUGCAACUCGACUACAUGAAGCUGGAAUCGCUAGUAAUCGUAGAUCAGCAUGCUACGGUGAAUAUGUUCCCGGGUCU
rnacentral:rRNA from 1 species